rnacentral:rRNA from 1 species
CUGCUGCCUUCCGUAGGAGUCUGGUCCGUGUCUCAGUACCAGUGUGGGGGACCUUCCUCUCAGAACCCCUACGCAUCGUCGGUUAGGUGGGCCGUUACCCCGCCUACUGCCUAAUGCGCCGCAUGCCCAUCCCUGUCCGGCCGAAGCCUUUCCUGCCUCCGGGAUGCCCCGGUGGCAUGUACGCGGGUUUAGCCCGCCUUUCGGCGGGUUGUCCCCAUAGUAAAGGGCAGGUUGGAUACGCGUUACUCACCCGUGCGCCGGUCGCCAUCAACAU